rnacentral:rRNA from 1 species
UAAGGAAUAUUGGACAAUGGAGGCAACUCUGAUCCAGCCAUGCCGCGUGAAGGAAUAAGGCCCUAUGGGUUGUAAACUUCUUUUAGACGGGACAAAACCCCUUUACGUGUAAAGGGUUGAUGGUACUGUCAGAAUAAGCAUCGGCUAACUUCGUGCCAGCAGCCGCGGUAAUACGAAGGAUGCAAGCGUUAUCCGGAAUUAUUGGGUUUAAAGGGUGCGUAGGCGGACUAAUAAGUCAGUGGUGAAAGCCUGCAGCUUAACUGCAGAAUUGCCAUUGAUACUGUUAGGCUUGAGUACAGUUGAGGUAGGCGGAAUGUGUCAUGUAGCGGUGAAAUGAUUAGAUAUGACACAGAACACCGAUUGCGAAGGCAGCUUGCUAAGCUGUAACUGACGCUGAGGCACGAAAGCGUGGGGAGCAAACA